rnacentral:rRNA from 1 species
GAGUUUGAUUAUGGCUCAGGAUGAACGCUAGCGGGAGGCCUAACACAUGCAAGCCGAGCGGGAUUUGUUGGUUAGCUUGCUAACUAACAAUGAGAGCGGCGUACGGGUGCGUAACACGUGUGCAACCUGCCUUUAUCUGGGGGAUAGCCUUUCGAAAGGAAGAUUAAUACCCCAUAAUAUAUUGAUUGGCAUCAGUUAAUAUUGAAAGCUCCGGCGGAUAGAGAUGGGCACGCGUAAGAUUAGCUAGUUGGUGAGGUAACGGCUCACCAAGGCUGCGAUCUUUAGGGGGCCUGAGAGGGUGAUCCCCCACACUGGUACUGAGACACGGACCAGACUCCUACGGGAGGCAGCAGUGAGGAAUAUUGGACAAUGGGUGAGAGCCUGAUCCAGCCAUCCCGCGUGAAGGACUAAGGACCUAUGGUUUGUAAACUUCUUUUAUACAGGGAUAAACCUACUCUCGUGAGGGUA